rnacentral:rRNA from 1 species
UACGUAGGGUGCAAGCGUUGUCCGGAAUCAUUGGGCGUAAAGCGCGCGUAGGUGGCCAUUUAAGUCCGCUGUGAAAGUCAAAGGCUCAACCUUUGAAAGCCGGUGGAUACUGGAUGGCUAGAGUACGGAAGAGGCGAGUGGAAUUCCUGGUGUAGCGGUGGAAUGCGCAUGUAUCAGGAGGAACACCAAUAGCGAAGGCAGCUCGCUGGGACGUUACUGACACUGAGGCGCGAAAGCGUGGGGAGCGAACAGG